rnacentral:rRNA from 1 species
GACGUAGGGCGCGAGCGUUGUCCGGAUUUAUUGGGCGUAAAGAGCUCGUAGGCGGCUUGUCGCGUCGUUCGUGAAAACCCACAGCUCAACUGUGGGCUUGCGGUCGAUACGGGCAGGCUGGAGUUCGGUAGGGGAGACUGGAAUUCCUGGUGUAGCGGUGAAAUGCGCAGAUAUCAGGAGGAACACCGGUGGCGAAGGCGGGUCUCUGGUACGUGACUGACGCUGAGACGCGAAAGCGUGGGGAGCAAACAGG